rnacentral:rRNA from 1 species
GACGAACGCUGGCGGCGUGCUUAACACAUGCAAGUCGAACGGUGAAGCUCCAGCUUGCUGGAGUGGAUCAGUGGCGAACGGGUGAGUAACACGUGAGCAACCUGCCCCUGACUCUGGAAUAAGCGCUGGAAACGGCGUCUAAUACUGGAUACGAGAAGGGUCCGCAUGGGCACUUUCUGGAAAGUUCUUCGGUUGGGGAUGGGCUCGCGGCAUAUCCGCUUGUUGGUGAGGUAAUGGCUCACAAAGGCGACGACGGGUAGCCGGCCUGAGAGGGCGACCGGCCACACUGGGACUGAGACACGGCGCAGACUCCUACGUGAGGCAGUAGUGGGGAAUAUUGCACAAUGGGCGAAAGCCUGAUGCAGCGACGCCGCGUGAGGGAUGACGGCCUUCGGGUUGUAAACCUCUUUCAGCAGGGAAGAAGCGAAAGUGACGGUACCUGCAGAAGAAGCACCGGCUAACUACGUG